AUUGAACGCUGGCGGCAGGCCUAACACAUGCAAGUCGAACGGUAACAGGAAGAAGCUUGCUUCUUUGCUGACGAGUGGCGGACGGGUGAGUAAUGUCUGGGAAACUGCCUGAUGGAGGGGGAUAACUACUGGAAACGGUAGCUAAUACCGCAUAACGUCGCAAGACCAAAGAGGGGGACCUUCGGGCCUCUUGCCAUCGGAUGUGCCCAGAUGGGAUUAGCUAGUAGGUGGGGUAACGGUUCACCUAGGCGACGAUCCCUAGCUGGUCUGAGAGGAUGACCAGCCACACGGGAACUGAGACACGGUCCAGACUCCUACGGGAGGCAGCAGUGGGGAAUAUUGCACAAUGGGCGCAAGCCUGAUGCAGCCAUGCCGCGUGUAUGAAGAAGGCCUUCGGGUUGUAAAGUACUUUCAGCGGGGAGGAAGGGAGUAAAGUUAAUACCUUUGCUCAUUGACGUUACCCGCAGAAGAAGCACCGGCUAACUCCGUG
rnacentral:rRNA from 1 species